rnacentral:lncRNA from 1 species
ACUGUGUUGUUUGCAGACCUCAAAGAUAGGAGGAAACAAGGAGAUUCCAGGCCUCCCCGAGGUCUGUUUCCUGAAGCAAAACUGAUUAGCCAUUUCUCUACACUAGCUGGCAAACAAUCUCAAUGCUGUGUUUACAUAAAUCACAAUAAGCCUAAUUCUAGCAACAAGCCAUGUGCAAACAGAAAUCAUCACCAGAUGCUCCUGCAGACGAGGACACUGAAGAAACCAUCAGCUAAUUCAGUCACCAGCUCCCAUGAUUCCAGAUUUUAUGUUGGUAAACUUGGGGUAAUGGAGCCCAGGAGAUACAAACACAUUCUCUACUUUGGAGGAGCAUAUGUGAACAUUAGUGAACUACAAGCUGAAAUAGCUGGUGAGUAGGAGGAGAGAUUUGAGUACCAGCAACUGGAGCAAAGCCAUGAACCGCCAGGACUCAAAUAUCCAGGUGACAGCAACUGGGAAGACCUAGGGAUUUGAGAGCCUGCUACUGGAUAUGAUAUCUAAGAGCAGUUUCUGGAAAAAAGAAAAUGAUGAUUUUGUUUAUGUGCCUAUUCCUAUAGCAACUUUAAGCCUUAUCAGCUGGACACAAAGAACAAGAUGAGGCCAUUUGUUCUAUUCAUGUUUCUGGGAGUGCUAUGUGUUUAGAUGGAUGCUGGAAGAGCAUUAUUUUCUGUAUUUAUCUGUGUGACUGGUCAUGCAUACAAAUAUAUUCAUAGAAAUGCCUAUCUGUAUAUAGAUAUAUAAAAUACACUGGGGUGGGAACACCCCUAUGGAAAAUGUGCUCAGCUUCACUACUGGCUGUUCCUGGGGACACAGAACCACAGCAACCCUUCCUGGGUUACUGGAUUACUGGAUGUAACAGCUUCUAACAGACCAUAAACUAACUUAAGAGAUAAUAAAAGUGCUUCUUAGCAGUCUGGAGGAGGCA